ensembl:misc_RNA
GGUUGAAUUCAGUGUCGUAGCAGGAAUUCUUAGAGCUGGCCGUCCCAAGAUGGGGUGGAGAGAGCGGCAUGAAAGAGAGAGAGAGAGAGAGACACGCCUGAAUGGCAGCAGCAGGCCUUAGCGGCAAUGGACAGCAGGCACAGGACCAGCUUUGCCUCGAGCCGCAACGCUGAUGCCAGAAAAGGACAACCUCUCCAGAAUCGCCGCAGUGUGCUUCC